AAAACGACCGAGUAUCGAAAGCAAUGGUAACGAAAUAAGUUGACACCGCGUCUCGUCAAAACAUGUUCAAUUCGAAUUUAACUCGGAAUUACACGUUCAACGAGCAUUUGCUGUGAAACCUGAUUAAAGGAAAAUUACUGUAGACACCUAAUAGUUUACAUAUGUCAGCAAGUCCUCAAAAGCAGCUUUAGGGGUUCCCAGGAGAUUCUGAUGCUCACUGUUAGACUUUCACUGUCGUCAAAAUCCAACCUUAUUUUCUCUUUUCUCAAAACUUCAGCUCUCAAAAACUUGUUUGAUUAAUUAUGUCACUCCUGUUUUGUUGAACAUGGUGUUGUCAGCAAUAGGUUCAAGUUCUUCUAUGUCUUGUUGUAGGUGAUUUGUACAGAAGCGAGCCCCGGCAGGAAUGAUGGCCUCUUUUGAAAUGAAGAUUUCAUGCCUUACUCCUACUGGGACUACAACUAACUUUGGACCUGGUCACUCGCAGAUACAGCAUGAAGUGUGCCCUCUUGAUGUACAUGGGGAUGGGAGUGAUACAGAAGGGGGACUAAUUGGAAGAACUGCUGCUGGUGGUGGUGGUGCUGGACUGUCUUGAAUCUGUUGCCUAACCGACUUGAUAUUCUUCUGUUUAAUAUGGGAGCAACACACACACUCUGGCAUAUAUUGCACAGAAAAUCAUGAUCAGAUGGUGCCCUCCCUAUCAGAGUGGUGAUCACUGACCUAUAUUUCUUUGAAAUCCUGGAUCUGUGUUUUGGUUUUACUCUCCAUGGACAGUUGAAACAGAGAAAGAAUUAGGGACCACUCCUUGGCAUAUCUGAAAUAUUUAUGUCAUAUACAUGUAAUUAAAAUAUACAAUUUGGGUUGGAUGAAAAUCUUAUCUUCAUGUUAAAACCCAUUAGCCUAGGUUAUUUUUCCUAAAAUCUAAUUAUAAAUCAAUUAACUUGUUAAUUAAUGCUUGGUGAAUCAAUUAAUAAAUUGUAUUCAAGAACUUGGAAUUAUUUUUUUUCCCACUAAUAAACUGAAAAUGUGUAUCUUCAAAUGUUUUGUUGAUUAAUGUCAGUGUGACAUAUAGAGGGGGUAUGGGGUUUACAACAAUGUAUACAUGGUUAAUUUAUUUCUAUUAUGUAGUCCAUGUAAAUUUCUGUGGAAACGAGGAAGUUAUUUAUAUUCGGUCUUUCCUAUCCCGGGGUAGGAAAGACCGAAUAUAAAUAACCCCCUCGUUUCCACGGAAAUUAAGUCCACGAGAGCCUGAAAUCUCCCAACCUGGGUCUGUUUAAUGGACCCUUCCAAAGUCCUUUUUUAAGGAAAAAGUAAACCAUUUUCCUAAUCCAAAAAGAAAACUGGUGCAAAAACCAUGAAAUAAUAUAAAUAAUAGAAAAAUUAUCAGUAGUAUUGUAAUACAUUUUCGGGGGUGGGGGGGGGGGGGGGGGGUUGCCGUUUCACCUUUAUAGAUUUUUUUUUUUUCCUAACAUUUAAAACAUAUCUUUUCAAUAUCAAUUUUGUCUAUAGCACAAAAUAAAAAUUCUAAAAUCAAUUAAAGCGUUUGAUUUUCGUGUGUAUAUAUAAAACAAAACGAAAGAAAAAAAAACUAGGAUCCUCCACUAGUAAACUAUGUUUUCCAUUUAGAGUUAUUGCCCUUCAAUCGAAAAAACGUAAACAUAAUUAAGAGAAUACUCUACAUUUCAACACAAGUUUUGUCAAAUAUUAUUUAACAAGAUAUAUUUUGAUAUGUAUUUAAAUUGAUCUACUUCAUUAAAAACAAACUUUC